rnacentral:rRNA from 1 species
AUUGAACGCUGGCGGCAUGCUUUACACAUGCAAGUCGAACGGUAACAGGCCGCAAGGUGCUGAUGAGUGGCGCACGGGUGAGUAAUGCACCGGUACGUGCCCAGCCGUGGGCUUUAACUACUCGUCAGAGAACCUAAUACCGUACACGAUCUAUGCAUGUAAGCGGGGGUCCGUAUGGCAUCGCCCGAUCGGAGCGGCCGGUGCCAGGUGCGGUUGUUGGUGGGGUAAAGGCUCACCCAGCCCACGAUCUGUAGCUGUUCUGGGGGGACGACGAGCGACACGGGGACUGGGACACGGCCCAGACUCCUACGGGAGGCCGCAGUGGGGGAUUGUAGACAAUAGGCGCAAGCCUGAUCCAGCAAUGCCACGUGCAGGAAGAAAGCCUUCGGGUUGUAAACUGCGUUUGUAGGGAACGAAACGGCUCUGGUUAAUACCCGGGGCUAGUGACGGUACCGUGAGAAUAAGCACCGGCUAACUACGUG